rnacentral:rRNA from 1 species
AUACGGAGGAUCCGAGCGUUAUCCGGAUUUAUUGGGUUUAAAGGGUGCGCAGGCGGCCAUUUAAGUCAGCGGUUAAAUCGUGGGGCUCAACCCCAUUCUGCCGUUGAUACUGGGUGGCUUGAUUGCGGUCGAGGUUGGCGGAAUUCGUUGUGUAGCGGUGAAAUGCAUAGAUAUGACGAAGAACACCGAUUGCGUAGGCAGCCGUCCAGACCGCAAAUGACGCUCAUGCACGAAAGUGCGGGGAUCGAACAGGAUUAGAUACCCUGGUAGUCCGCACAGUAAACGAUGAAUACUUGUUUUCGGCGAUAUAAUGUCGGAGGCAAAGCGAAAGCGAUAAGUAUUCCACCUGGGGAGUACGCCGGCAACGGUGAAACUCAAAGGAAUUGACGGGG